rnacentral:rRNA from 1 species
CCUACGGGAGGCAGCAGUCGGGAAUUUUGGGCAAUGGGCGAAAGCCUGACCCAGCAACGCCGCGUGAAGGAUGAAGUCUUUCGGGAUGUAAACUUCGUAAGAAUAGGAAGAAUAAAUGACGGUACUAUUUGUAAGGUCCGGCUAACUACGUGCCAGCAGCCGCGGUAAUACGUAGGGACCAAGCGUUGUUCGGAUUUACUGGGCGUAAAGGGCGCGUAGGCGGCGUGUCAAGUCAAUUGUGAAAUCUCCGAGCUUAACUCGGAACGGUCAAUUGAUACUGAUGUGCUAGAGUACAGAAGGGGCAAUCGGAAUUCUUGGUGUAGCGGUGAAGUGCGUAGAUAUCAAGAGGAACACCUGAGGUGAAGACGGGUUGCUGGGCUGAUACUGACGCUGAGGCGCGAAAGCUAGGGUAGCAAACGGGAUUAGAUACCCCGGUAGUCCUAGCCCUAAACGAUGAAUACUUGGUGUCUGGAGUUUUAAUUCUCCGGGUGCCGUCGCUAACGUUUUUAGUAUUCCGCCUGGGGAGUACGCACGCAAGUGUGAAACUCAAAGGAAUUGACGG